rnacentral:lncRNA from 1 species
GCGUUACAAUUUACCUUUACAACAACUUCAAUACCAGCUUUACGAAACUUCAAUAAUUCUAGAGUGUUGAUGCAUUACACUGUACAUGAAGUAAUUGGAAGCAAAACAAAGAUAAUAAACUAUUGUCCCUUAUGGGUUGGUCGAGUUGGUGGAGUAUGUGAGCACGGAGGCUUUUGAUCACGAGUUCGAUUCCCCAACACUUUCUCGAUCGAGUCUGUUGUACAAGGCUUGCUUACUGCGGUUUACCUGACUGACGUGGUUUGCAAGUGAUUGCGUCAACUCAAAGAUUUACCCAGUAUGCAUUCGAAGGAUAGCGGCUGCUGAUUCCUCCGUCUUAAAAAAAUAAUAAUAAUAAUAAUAAUAAACCAUUGGAAUUCAAUACGUUAUUUACCGGAUGCCUUGAUGUUUUAAAAUAAACAUACGGUUUAGCAAUCUCAGUAAUAUCAACUCGAGGAUCGAGGCCCUUUCCAAUGCCAUUGAAAACGGUCAAGAUAAACUGGGUUAAAUAAUAGUAGCAGCUAAAUAUGGCAGUAAAGUAGCUGAAGUACGGUACUUGAAAAUGCCCUUACAACAAAAGUGAAAGUAGCAGGAAAGCGGAGGGGUUGAUAUGUUGCAGUGGCUAAUAAAUUUUCACUUGUUAAAAGGAUCAACAUCCUUUUUUAUUUGUAAUUUUAUUUUUUUUAUUUUUCUUCUUCUUCUUUUUUUUUUUUUUUUUUGGGGAAGCAAAGACAGUUUAAAAAAUUGGUUUUCAUCCAAUGUCAGGGAGAGAUGAAAGGGACUAACAGGAUGACUAAAUGAAAUGGGAAAAAGGAAUAUCAACUAAUUAAAGAUCAAAAACUCGAACACAGACACUAAAUACUCAAUCAAAAAGAGUUUAAAUGCAAAAGUCAACCAAUAGAUUGACAGAAACAAACUAAUCUGUUAGAAAAUCGAAUAUUAUAACGUUAAUGCUGCAUAAAAUAUUCAAUUUCCGCUGCAGCUGAGAAAAAAGUACCAGAAGACAUAAAAGCAUAAUUCAUAGAAGAAAUCUGAAUCCUACCUCUCAAUGUGUCGUGAUUUGAGAAAGUGCAAAAUCUGCACUAUUUAUCGAACUAAACA